ACCACCCAAGUUUCAAGUUUCUCUAUCCUUAUUUUUUUUUAACCUCUUAUCCUACAUUUAAUCUCCUUUUACUUAUCAGUUUUGAAGUUUCAAAGUUAAGAAAGAUUUCAUUUAAUAUUUAGAUGAGAAAGCAGGUAGUAGCCUGGAAAAAUCACCAAAAUGUUCUUUUUUUAACUUAUGAACCCCAUGCUCAUGUCAAAAUAAGCAUUAGAUACUGGUUUCCAGCAAAAAUACUUCCAAGGCAAAUGAAAAUUUAAAGCAACGUAGCCUACAGUGCAAUUGAUCUCCUUAAUAAAUAACAGUUCUAUUUACUUCAGUUUUCAUCAAUGAAAAAUUUUGGAGAAUUGGAAAAACAAUAAUUUUAAAACACACACAUAGCAGAGAAAAAUGUGAGAUGGCAGUGAAGUAUGGAACUCGGCUAUGCUCUAUUUUUGGUUCCGUGAGGAUUUUGACGUGUUUAAUGACAUGAAUGACCUUGGUCAGCUAAUAUGAAAGUAGCAUGUUGGGCAUGUUUUUUGGUAAAAUAAAAAGGUGGUCUUGUUUAACUAAUAAGCAUUAAGUUAAUGAAGGUGAGAUUUGCAUGUUUCUGUAAGAGAGAAGAGUUGGUCCAUGGUGUUCUUUAGUUUAAAUUUUCAGACUGUUCUUGCCUCUAUGAUGUUGCCUUUUUCUUUAUCAUUUGUAAUAAGGUUUGACCUUUCAGCUGAGAGACAAAAGAGUUCAUGAAUGAAUGGCCUCAGGUGUUAAGCUGAAUCAUAAUUAAUUUUUUCCCUAUAGCAUGUGCAGAGUUCAUCAAUGGCAUGUAAAAGAAAACAUGCUGCCACCCCUUGUACACGGAAAAAGCCUCCACCAUCAGCUCCUGUACAGAAUACUAGGACUCCAAUGUAAAAUUUUAGUUUGUGUUUCGAACUCCGGAAGAUGAAGAACGUUACUACCAAAAGUUCUGUCACCAAGAAGUCAGGGCUGGAAGGGUAAGCUCAAGAUCCUAAAGGAGAGGCGUCCAACAAAGGGAAAUCGAAGGUCAACGAGUAGCCGACUUGGAAUUAUUUGCCCAACACUAGGUCUCUCGGACUCGUAUUGUUUGCGUGAUCGGGACCGUCGCUGAAGUCAUCACAACGGCUGAAAUCUUGUGGUAUUGUUUUUGUUGUUGAAGAACAUUUGGCAUGUAUAGGCUAUUAUAUUUUGUCGAAUUGUGGGUUGUAAACUUUAAGCCAUGUGAAAAUGGCCUAUGUGGUCGCCGAGUGGGAU